rnacentral:rRNA from 1 species
AUUGAACGCUGGCGGCAUGCCUUACACAUGCAAGUCGAACGGCAGCACGGGAGCAAUCCUGGUGGCGAGUGGCGAACGGGUGAGUAAUAUAUCGGAACGUGCCCAGUAGUGGGGGAUAGCCCGGCGAAAGCCGGAUUAAUACCGCAUGAGACCUGAGGGUGAAAGCGGGGGAUCGCAAGACCUCGCGCUAUUGGAGCGGCCGAUAUCAGAUUAGCUAGUUGGUGGGGUAAAGGCCUACCAAGGCAACGAUCUGUAGUUGGUUUGAGAGGACGACCAGCCUCACUGGGACUGAGACACGGCCCAGACUCCUACGGGAGGCAGCAGUGGGGAAUUUUGGACAAUGGGCGCAAGCCUGAUCCAGCAAUGCCGCGUGCAGGAAGAAGGCCUUCGGGUUGUAAACUGCUUUUGUCAGGGAAGAAAUCCCUUGGGAUAAUACCUCGGGGGGAUGACGGUACCUGAAGAAUAAGCACCGGCUAACUACGUGCCAGCCGCCGCCGUAACAC